rnacentral:rRNA from 1 species
UUUUGGACAAUGGGGGCAAGCCUGAUCCAGCCAUUCCGCGUGAGUGAAGAAGGCCUUCGGGUUGUAAAGCUCUUUCGCAAGGGACCCCCCACUUACUUUCUAAUAAAGAGUGAGGUUGACGGUACCUUGAUAAGAAGCACCGGCUAACUACGUGCCAGCAGCCGCGGUAAUACGUAGGGUGCGAGCGUUAAUCGGAAUUACUGGGCGUAAAGCGUGCGCAGGCGGCUUUGUAAGUCAGAUGUGAAAUCCCCGAGCUCAACUUGGGAACUGCGUUUGAAACUACAAGGCUAGAAUAUGUCAGAGGGGGGUAGAAUUCCACGUGUAGCAGUGAAAUGCGUAGAGAUGGGAGGAAUACCAAUGGCGAAGGCAGCCCCCUGGGAUAAUAUUGACGCUCAUGCACGAAG